CCCUGAGUGGUGUAAGCACUUAACAUGUUUGGCUAAUAACCAAAAGGUUGGCAGUUCGAGUCUAUCCAGAGGCA
rnacentral:tRNA from 1 species